rnacentral:rRNA from 1 species
CCUACGGGUGGCAGCAGUGGGGAAUUGUUCGCAAUGGGCGCAAGCCUGACGACGCAACGCCGCGUGGAGGAUGAAGGUCUUCGGAUUGUAAACUCCUGUUGUGAAGGAUGCGGUACCGAUUGAGGAAGCCACGGCUAACUCUGUGCCAGCAGCCGCGGUAAUACAGAGGUGGCAAGCGUUGUUCGGAAUUACUGGGCGUAAAGGGCGCGUAGGCGGCCUUCUAAGUCAGACGUGAAAUCCCCAGGCUUAACUUGGGAACUGCGUCUGAUACUGGGAGGCUUGAGUGCGGGAGAGGGAUGUGGAAUUCCAGGUGUAGCGGUGAAAUGCGUAGAUAUCUGGAGGAACACCGGUGGCGAAGGCGGCAUCCUGGACCGCCUGACGCUGAGGCGCGAAAGCUAGGGGAGCAAACGGGAUUAGAUACCCUUGUAGUC